rnacentral:rRNA from 1 species
GGUUAAGUUAGAAAGGGCGCACGGUGGAUGCCUUGACACUAGGAGUCGAUGAAGGACGGGACUAACGCCGAUAUGCUUCGGGGAGCUGUAAGUAAGCUUUGAUCCGAAGAUUUCCGAAUGGGGAAACCCACCAUACGUAAUGGUAUGGUAUCCUUAUCUGAAUACAUAGGGUAAGGAAGACAGACCCAGGGAACUGAAACAUCUAAGUACCUGGAGGAAGAGAAAGCAAAUGCGAUUUCCUGAGUAGCGGCGAGCGAAACGGAACAUAGCCCAAACCAAGAGGCUUGCCUCUUGGGGUUGUAGGACAUUCUAUACGGAGUUACAAAGGAACGAGGUAGACGAAGCGACCUGGAAAGGUCCGUCGUAGAGGGUAACAACCCCGUAGUCGAAACUUCGUUCUCUCUUGAAUGUAUCCUGAGUACGGCGGAACACGUGAAAUUCCGUCGGAAUCUGGGAGGACCAUCUCCCAAGGCUAAAUACUCCCUAGUGAUCGAUAGUGAACCAGUACCGUGAGGGAAAGGUGAAAAGCACCCCGGAAGGGGAGUGAAAGAGAUCCUGAAACCGUGUGCCUACAAAUAGUCAGAGCCCGUUAACGGGUGAUGGCGUGCCUUUUGUAGAAUGAACCGGCGAGUUACGAUCCCGUGCGAGGUUAAGCUGAAGAGGCGGAGCCGCAGCGAAAGCGAGUCUGAAUAGGGCGUUUAGUACGUGGUCGUAGACCCGAAACCAGGUGAUCUACCCAUGUCCAGGGUGAAGUUCAGGUAACACUGAAUGGAGGCCCGAACCCACGCACGUUGAAAAGUGCGGGGAUGAGGUGUGGGUAGCGGAGAAAUUCCAAUCGAACCUGGAGAUAGCUGGUUCUCCCCGAAAUAGCUUUAGGGCUAGCCUUAAGUGUAAGAGUCUUGGAGGUAGAGCACUGAUUGGACUAGGGGUCCUCAUCGGAUUACCGAAUUCAGUCAAACUCCGAAUGCCAAUGACUUAUCCUUAGGAGUCAGACUGCGAGUGAUAAGAUCCGUAGUCAAAAGGGAAACAGCCCAGACCGCCAGCUAAGGUCCCAAAGUGUGUAUUAAGUGGAAAAGGAUGUGGAGUUGCUUAGACAACUAGGAUGUUGGCUUAGAAGCAGCCACCAUUUAAAGAGUGCGUAAUAGCUCACUAGUCGAGUGACUCUGCGCCGAAAAUGUACCGGGGCUAAAUACACCACCGAAGCUGCGGAUUGAUACCAAUGGUAUCAGUGGUAGGGGAGCGUUCUAAGGACAGUGAAGUCAGACCGGAAGGACUGGUGGAGUGCUUAGAAGUGAGAAUGCCGGUAUGAGUAGCGAAAGACGGGUGAGAAUCCCGUCCACCGAAUGCCUAAGGUUUCCUGAGGAAGGCUCGUCCGCUCAGGGUUAGUCAGGACCUAAGCCGAGGCCGACAGGCGUAGGCGAUGGACAACAGGUUGAUAUUCCUGUACCACCUCUUUAUCGUUUGAGCAAUGGAGGGACGCAGAAGGAUAGAAGAAGCGUGCGAUUGGUUGUGCACGUCCAAGCAGUUAGGCUGAUAAGUAGGCAAAUCCGCUUAUCGUAAAGGCUGAGCUGUGAUGGGGAAGCUCCUUAUGGAGCGAAGUCUUUGAUUCCCCGCUGCCAAGAAAAGCUUCUAGCGAGAUAAAAGGUGCCUGUACCGCAAACCGACACAGGUAGGCGAGGAGAGAAUCCUAAGGUGUGCGAGAGAACUCUGGUUAAGGAACUCGGCAAAAUGACCCCGUAACUUCGGGAGAAGGGGUGCUUUCUUAACGGAAAGCCGCAGUGAAUAGGCCCAAGCGACUGUUUAGCAAAACACAGCUCUCUGCGAAGCCGUAAGGCGAAGUAUAGGGGGUGACACCUGCCCGGUGCUGGAAGGUUAAGGAGAGGGGUUAGCGUAAGCGAAGCUCUGAACUGAAGCCCCAGUAAACGGCGGCCGUAACUAUAACGGUCCUAAGGUAGCGAAAUUCCUUGUCGGGUAAGUUCCGACCCGCACGAAAGGUGUAACGAUUUGGGCACUGUCUCAACCAGAGACUCGGUGAAAUUAUAGUACCUGUGAAGAUGCAGGUUACCCGCGACAGGACGGAAAGACCCCGUGGAGCUUUACUGUAGCCUGAUAUUGAAUUUUGGUACAGUUUGUACAGGAUAGGCGGGAGCCUUUGAAACCGGAGCGCUAGCUUCGGUGGAGGCGCUGGUGGGAUACCGCCCUGACUGUAUUGAAAUUCUAACCUACGGGUCUUAUCGACCCGGGAGACAGUGUCAGGUGGGCAGUUUGACUGGGGCGGUCGCCUCCUAAAGUGUAACGGAGGCGCCCAAAGGUUCCCUCAGAAUGGUUGGAAAUCAUUCGUAGAGUGCAAAGGCAUAAGGGAGCUUGACUGCGAGACCUACAAGUCGAGCAGGGACGAAAGUCGGGCUUAGUGAUCCGGUGGUUCCGCAUGGAAGGGCCAUCGCUCAACGGAUAAAAGCUACCCCGGGGAUAACAGGCUUAUCUCCCCCAAGAGUCCACAUCGACGGGGAGGUUUGGCACCUCGAUGUCGGCUCAUCGCAUCCUGGGGCUGUAGUCGGUCCCAAGGGUUGGGCUGUUCGCCCAUUAAAGCGGUACGCGAGCUGGGUUCAGAACGUCGUGAGACAGUUCGGUCCCUAUCCGUCGUGGGCGUAGGAAAUUUGAGAGGAGCUGUCCUUAGUACGAGAGGACCGGGAUGGACGCACCGCUGGUGUACCAGUUGUUCUGCCAAGGGCAUAGCUGGGUAGCUAUGUGCGGAAGGGAUAAGUGCUGAAAGCAUCUAAGCAUGAAGCCCCCCUCAAGAUGAGAUUUCCCAUAGCGUAAGCUAGUAAGAUCCCUGAAAGAUGAUCAGGUUGAUAGGUUCGAGGUGGAAGCAUGGUGACAUGUGGAGCUGACGAAUACUAAUAGAUCGAGGACUUAACCAU